GAGAAGCUAUGAGCUAUGCCAUGCAGGGCCUCCCAAGAUGGACAGGUCAUAGUGGAGGGUUUUGACUAAACGUGAUCCACCUGGAGCAGGAACCGGCAAGCCACUCCAGUAUCCCUGCCAAGAAAACUCCAUGGACAAAAGCAACAGGAUCAACACUUGCUUUGGUGCAAUUCAGAGUAGUGAAAAAUCCAAAGAAUAGCUACAUUUUGAUCAGCCGCUCUUCCAAACAUCUACAUUCCCCAAGACACUGUGAAGUGUUUUGAGCACUAAACAAGCACAGUAUAAAUAUUGUUGCUUGCUACUGGCCGAAACUUAAUCUGAGACAGGGGAAGUGAGAAACAGGAGUGAGAAACAGAGGGUUGUAUUCAGUGCUGAACAGACAGACUUCCACUCAGACAAUGGUAUUUUGCUGCUGCCGCCACCUCCUCUCUUCUUGCACACCUGCAAAAUUUGGUCCAGAGCAUCUCCCAGCAGUUUUGAGGGAAGCCAGAUGAACCUCAACAGGGAGGGCAUUCCACAAACAGGAAGCCACCACCAAGAAGGUCCUGUCACAGAAAGUGCCAACUGGGGGGACACCAGCACCACCAAGACCUCCCUUGACAAUCGUGAAGCUUGAGAAAUUUUGAGGAGAUGAUCUCUAUAGUGUCCCAAGUGGUUGUUGGAAUGAACACCUGAAGCUCACCGGCAGCCAGCGCAGCGAUUUCAGGACUGGUGACACGUGGUCCCAUCAGACUGCCCCACUCAGCAAUCUAGCAGCCAUAUUCUGCUCUACUUUUAGGGCUUAGGGAGGGUUGCAGAAUUACAUUGGCACCUGGUACCCUUUUCUUCCCUCGUGGCUCUUCAAAGGCACGAACCAGCUGAACCAGAUGAACAAAGGCAGGGGUGUUCAGCUAUGUUCCCAGCUGUCUUAUCCUCCCCAGUAUCCCUUUGGAUGUUUUAAGUGUCUGCACCCACUGAAACAUUCCUUCGAGCGUAGGGAGCAGGUUGUCUGUGAAAGAAAUAGUGGUGAAGUCAGUUUUGCUUCGUUCAUUGGAAUGCAAUGGGAUGCCCUAGUGGGUGGGAAAGCAAUGCAUUGGUUCUCGCCCACCGCUAAAGACCGGAACAGUCAUGUGGAAUACAGGAACCUAGGAAGCUGCCCACUGGUUCAUCUAGCUCAGCAUUGUACACACUGACUCUUCAGGAUUCCAAACAGGGGAUACUACCUGGAGAUGCUGGGAAUUUAACCUGGGGCCUUCUUUACCACUGAGCUACAGCCAUUCUCCAGCACCAUCUUGCUGCAGACAGCACAGCAAGCAAUGGACUGGACUAUUCUCUCUCUCAUUUGGAACUAGGGUGACCAGACUGAGAGGAGGGCAGGGCUCCCAUGCUUUUCAUAGCUAUGCUAAAAAGGGUUUGGGGCCACCUUGCCUUUAAGAAGGUGGUGGUGCAGAAAUCCACACAGCUUUAAAAAUGCAGGAGCUCUGUCUUCUCUUACACACCUCAACAUGCAUUGAGAAGCAUUAAUAUUUGUGAUGUGCUCCCCACAUCUCCCAAGGAUGCAGGGAAAGAGCUCCCUGGAGGUUGGCUUCCUCUUGGAAAGGAGCUCCCUGGAGAUGGAUGGUGUGUCAGCAAUGCCUGGCUUAUUUACCAAUAUCCCAAUCCCAGAAGAGCCUAGAUGGAGGCAAGCAGCAUCAGCAUUCCUGGCAUGCAGCAGAUCUCCAGAGAGAGGUAAUUUGCACACUAUACAUUGAAAGCACAUUUAAAAGAGAUCCCUCCCCCAGGGAAAAGUUUCGUAGGGACUGUAGUUUACCCUUCACAGAGCUACAGUUCUCAGCACCUUUCAACAACUACAGUUCCCAGGACUCUUCAGGGUGGCGGGAGAAAUGUGCUUUCAAUGUUUGGUUUCGAUGCAGCUGGAGACCCCCAGCAACCCAAGAUUCUUUUGGCCUUCCCUUAACUCUGUAUUUUUCCAUCUCUCCAAAAGCUUUCCCGAAAGCUCUCCCUUUCUGAUAAGACUGCUCAGGUCUAUUUAGAGUUGGAAGGGACCCUGAGGAUCAUCUUUUUUAAAAAAAAUCUUAUUUAUUGAUUUUUCACAAAAAAAAAACUUUACAAAUUUUAGCAUAAAACAAAAGUUGCUUUAUCCAUUGACCUCCCACCCUCCCCUUCAAUGGUUUCCAUAUUUACCCCUUGAAUGCUGCAUAUUUUGGGGACCCUGAAGAUCCUAUAAUCCAACCUCCUGCAAUGCAGGAAUAUGCAGCUGUUCCACGUGGGGAUCGAACCUUCAGCCUUGGCAUUAUCAGCACCGUGCUCUGAGCUAUAGAGUCUCUCCAGCCCCUUGGCUUUGGGUGAACUAAUUCAGAGGUCAAGGAUUUUGGAACAUAGGAAGCUGCCUUCUACAGAGUCAGACCACUGGUCCUUUUAGCUCAGCACCAACCACCGGCUGUCAGCAGCUCUGUGGGAAUGCAGGUAGCGGACACUCCCAGCCCUACCUGGAGAUUGAACUUGGGACCUUCUGCAUGCAGAGCAGAUGCUCAACCUCUGAGCUACGACCCUUUCGUUAUGCCCCCCACUCAUUAAAUCUGGAGGGGUCCCAAGCAUAAUUCAAGUAGCAAUUGUUUUAACUACUUGCAAUGUAAAGGCAGAAAGACAUGUUUCAAGAGCUCUCCAUUGCUGAGACGUGCAGUACUGAUGUCCUGACACUGUUACGUGUCCUGAUGCAAUUGUGCUUUUAACAGAUCCAUGCUAGCAGCUGGACAUGUACUGAUAUGAACAUACACAGCGUAAACGAUGUCAGUAAUUAAGUGAGCUUAAUUGGAUUGUGUGCUGUAUGUGGGGCAUUGUUACUAUGUGUUGUUAUUUGGGGUAUGUAGAGAGGAAAGGGACCCUCGCUGUUCCCAUUUUGAGUGGCAGCCCUGAGUUUGUAUAUUAGCAAUUCUGCCCUAAGCAAGGGUUCACACUCCUAUUUUCCUUUAGGAUAAUCAAAUAAUUGUUUUCUCUUCAACUAUGUUCUUUUUAUUAAGCAUUUCAGAGAGGAAGGCACAAUUGACCUUCAAACAAGCUGAACAACAACAAUAACAAUUGAAGACAUUUUUGUUCCAACCAACUUCUCCAGCUGGAUGAAAAGGUCUCAGCCUUAGGUGCUCAUUUUGAAUUGUUUUUAAACCCAUCUUUAGCUGUUUUUAAACUAUUUUUAGCUGUUUUUAUGGUAUGCUUGUGAAUCACUUUGAGACGACUAGAUAAGGCAAUUGCUUAUUUAAAAAGCACCUUUUAUUUAUUAAAAUGUACUUAUUUGAUUCAAAUAUGAAUCACUUCCCAUAAAGUAUCUCAGAGUGAUUUCAUAAUAAAAACAUCUGCAAUAAAAACAAUGACACAAUUUUAUAUAAAAAUAGUUAUAACAAGGUAAAGAACAAUUUAAAAUGCUAUCAUGUAUUAAGCCUAACAACAACAACCACUGUACUAGAAAACAAGUAUAAAAAACAAAUCAGACAUAAAAUGAUAAUCAUGAGAUAACGUUCUUGAAUAUUAUGAAUUAUCACAUCCUUCCAGAAUGUAGUGUGGGACUGAGCAAAAAGUUGGUCAACUGGAUUUUUGUGGUGGCGUAUGAUAUGAAUAGGAACCAAUGCUCAAUCGAGGGAUGAUAAUCACAUUCUUUACAAAGGAGCAAGGUAUGGGCCAGACGCUGGACAAAAUGUUUUUUAAAGUGGCAGAAGGUUAGCUCCAAGUAAACAGGCUACUAAUGACUCCCUCUGUUUUACAAGGGUAAUUCUCCCCUGUGUUACUCAGCGAGGACCAGAUUUACAGUUGCACUAAACAAGGGAUAUAAGAAGAGGCCGAAAGAAAGGGGUACCCCUGCUGUAGUGUAAUUACUGGGGAGUUUCCUAGUGUGGGAAGCAAGUGGCAUUCUGUUGCCUGCACUGAAUUCCUUUAGAACUCUUUGGAGUAGAAAAAAACACUUGAGCCGAGCUGGAGAGCAAAAAGGGGAAAUCUAUUUCCAUGCUGUUUUCAGUCUGUUUUCACAUACUUGAGUAAUUGUGCUUGGUUGAUGUUUCGGUUCUAAGUGUUGUUUAUGUUUUUAAGUUGCCCUGUGGCAGGGUUGAAAUUGCAGAACUUUUAUGCCAGGUGCACCUUUUUGCAUGCCGCACCUGUUCAGAUUCCUUUUCUUAUUACACAGUUAUUAAAGCUACAGGAGCCCUAUCCUUCGUUGCAUCUGGUCACCCUCCAGAACAGAUGCCAGCUCAACCUGUUCUUCCUGUUGCCGGAGCAGUGUGGGUGGAGUUCCUUUUGAAGUUCCCCAGAACUGGAGUCAGGGCUUUUCCAGCAAAGUGGACUCUGAGCCAGAGCGUCCUUUAAUAAGCAGUUUGUGCUUCAUUUUCCAAGCCUUAUCUGCCUCUGCCAUUUAGAAUGAGCUGCUCCAAAAUGCGUUCUGUGAUAAUUAUUAAAGUAUCAAUUAGCCGCCUUUUGAAAAUUGUUGUUUAAAUGUGACAGUGAAGCUUCAUACAGCUAAACCGCAAGAGUCCACUGUAUUAAGAUGCAGAGCCACAAAUACUUCUGAGUCUGUUUAGACAGAAGCAUGCAACUUUGAUUUCAAUGUGAGAGCUCAGGUGUAGGAUAUGAAAGAUUAUUGUUUUUGUUUACAGGUGUGCGCAGGAUUUCUUUUUUAAAAAAAAUAUUUUUUAUUGAAUGAUUUUAUGUUACAAAAAACAAUACAUCCAUACUACCACUGAAUAUAAUUAAGAAAUAAAAAUUACAUACAUUGAUAUUUAGUUUGUUAUUUGUUAUUUACCGUCUUAUUUCCUCCCAAACAUUGCAUACAACAACACACAUAUGUGCAGACACCCACACACCCA